UACGUAGGGUGCGAGCGUUGUCCGGAAUUACUGGGCGUAAAGAGCUCGUAGGUGGUUUGUCGCGUUGUUCGUGAAAACCGGGGGCUUAACCCUCGGCGUGCGGGCGAUACGGGCAGACUGGAGUACUGCAGGGGAGACUGGAAUUCCUGGUGUAGCGGUGAAAUGCGCAGAUAUCAGGAGGAACACCGGUGGCGAAGGCGGGUCUCUGGGCCGAUACUGACGCUGAGGAGCGAAAGCGUGGGGAGCAAACAGG
rnacentral:rRNA from 1 species